rnacentral:rRNA from 1 species
AUUGAACGCUGGCGGCAGGCUUAACACAUGCAAGUCGAGCGGGGAAAGGUAGCUUGCUACCUGACCUAGCGGCGGACGGGUGAGUAAUGCUUAGGAAUCUGCCUAUUAGUGGGGGACAACAUCUCGAAAGGGAUGCUAAUACCGCAUACGUCCUACGGGAGGAAGCAGGGGACCUUCGGGCCUUGCGCUAAUAGAUGAGCCUAAGUCGGAUUAGCUAGUUGGUGGGGUAAAGGCCUACCAAGGCGACGAUCUGUAGCGGGUCUGAGAGGAUGAUCCGCCACACUGGGACUGAGACACGGCCCAGACUCCUACGGGAGGCAGCAGUGGGGAAUAUUGGACAAUGGGGGGAACCCUGAUCCAGCCAUGCCGCGUGUGUGAAGAAGGCCUUUUGGUUGUAAAGCACUUUAAGCGAGGAGGAGGCUACCGAGAUUAAUACUCUUGGAUAGUGGACGUUACUCGCAGAAUAAGCACCGGCUAACUCUGUGCCAGCCGCCGCAGUAAGAC